CGCAGCGCCGGUAUUUGCACCGCGCCGAGCCGAGCCGAGGGCCCCCAGCCGAGCCGAGCGCAGCGCGCACAGGCGGAGACGAGAUGGAGUACCUGGGCGUCCUGUGUCUCGCGUGCUUUUGGACAGCAGCGGCAGGCAAGAUGAUCAAGGCGUCUGACAUUUACUAUGUGAACCUAUUCGCCACCGCGUCUAUAUCCUGUGAGUGGGGGGAGAAAAGUCCCUCGGGCGUGUUCUGGUACCGGCAGACAGAAGAGGGAUUCCAGUUCCUGUUUCACUACAGCGUGACGGAUAAAUACACCUACGGAAUUGAUGCCCCCAGUGAGCAGGAGCGGUUUAAAGGCAGCAAGAGGGACAGUAUCAAGACCAUCUUCAUCCUGAAGAUCCUCCGCGUGCAGGAGAAGGACGCCGGGAUUUACUACUGCGGCGUCCUCAACAGAACCGAGCUCACGCUGAGCGACGGCGCCGAGCUCCGGCCGGGAGAGACGCCGCCCACACUUCCACCCCCCACCACGACCCCCCGGAAGCCCACGCCUUUCCGCUGCCCCAGCAGGAGGAGACCCAAGCCUCAGCCUGGCUGGGGCUGCGGGCCCCUGGUGCUGUGGCCGCUGGCCGGAGGGCUCUCGGCGCUGGCCGUGGCGUGGGUCUGCACCCUCUACUACUUCAGCCGACUGCCCAAGAAGUGUCGUCACAGAUUCACGAAGAGGUAACGUGUUCCUUUGGGACACGGGAGCUGAGAUGAACUGAGGCUGCUGCAGCACGAGGCGCACAGAAGGUCUCCUCUGUCACGAGGUCUUCUCUAGAGCAGACUGUCCAAGGCGUUCAGCUCACCAGGAUGUUUUCUGCUGUGCAGCACAGGCUUGAGCAGUUUGUCCAGGCAUUUACACGCAAACCAGAAGCCAGAGUCAAUCCAGAGUCAAUCCAGAGUCAAUCCAGAGUCAAUCCAGAGUCAAUCCAGAGUCAAUCCAGAGUCAAUCCCUGAAUUAUUCUGUAAAGAGAGCUGCACUGUCUGUGUAAAUAAGAAUCUGUUUCAAUCACUGUGUGAAUAGAGCCUGAAGACUGCACACAACCCAAACUGAACAGAACACUGAACACACAACACAAACUGAACACAACACUGAGAACAGAACAGAGAACACCCAACACAAACUGAACACAAUACAGAACACAAUGUAAACUGAAUACAACAUAGAACAUGAAUACAGAGCACAAACUGAACACAAGACUGAACACUCACAGGUUCCUUGAUGGCUGCAGUCCCACUGUCUGAGGCGCUAGCUUUGCAAUUACUGCUCUGCAAAACACAACCUUCUGUUUUUCAAAUGUAUGGCCACUGUGCUGACUGUGUCAUCGGCUUUAUUGUACAAAUGUAAAUAAGGUAAAAGUGUAUCCAGAUUUACUGUGUCCACGGUAUUGUCAUUACAUUCAAUUAUUUCUUAUUUUGAAUUUUUAUGUGCUGCGAGAAUAUAGUUUUCUUCAUUUGUGAGAGAAUUGAAUAAUUACAGAUUUUCACGUCAUGUUAUAAUUGUUAU